AACACUCAUAAAGGGAUUCACUAUUAUUUUUGCAUUACACUUUGAUUCUUCUUCCAUUCCACGUCGCUUCGUUGCGUGCGAGUUGGUGUGAUUUUCGUCGUGUUAUGUGAAAAAAGCAGAAAAUAGCUUAAAUUUUACAAAUUUUAUUUGUAAAAUCGACCCAAAAUUCAAAAGAAACCAAAACAGAAUAGAAAAACAAAAAGGAAUAGAAAAAUCGUGCCGUGAAUUUUGCGAAAUUGUCGCAAAGGCGACAAGCAAAUUUGUCGUCUAAACAAAUUCGUCGGGGAAAAAAACAUUUUUUAACAUAAAAAAAAUCAAAAAAAAUAAACUAAUUUUUUACAACAAAAUAUGUACUUGUAAAACUAAAAGAAAGAAAAAUUAGAAGAAUAAAACUGGCAAAAUAAAUUUGCAUUAUUCUCAAGUUAUAAACAGCAACCUUUAAAUGAGAAAGGUGGAUAUACAUACAUAAUUUAAAACUAUGCAAAUUUUGGAAAACAUCAACUAGUUGCAUUACGUUUGACUUUGAGUGAGCAUAAGUUUAACUAUAACGGAUGCGACAAAAGUAAAAAGCGUGGAUUGUCAGUCCCGUACACGAUUUUAUUAACGCGUCAAUCUUACAAUACUUGCGCUGUCCCGGAGAAAUUGUUUUAAAAAUUUGGCUCCCAUAUUCGUCAACUUAAACAAGAAAGACGCACCAACAAAGGAAGCGGUAUAAUCAAAAAUCUGACGUUCGUCAAGAUUGCUGAGCCACUUUUGCAAAUACCGGCAGCCGAGAAGAAAAGGAAACAAAAAGGCCGCUCUCGUAGUUUUGUUCCCAAGAACGCUAGCACACCCAAAACGAAAUGAG